rnacentral:rRNA from 1 species
AUUGAACGCUGGCGGCAUGCCUUACACAUGCAAGUCGAACGGUAACGGGCCUUCGGGUGCCGACGAGUGGCGAACGGGUGAGUAAUAUAUCGGAACGUACCUUUCAGUGGGGGAUAACGUAGCGAAAGUUACGCUAAUACCGCAUAUUCUGUGCGCAGGAAAGCAGGGGACCUUCGGGCCUUGCGCUGAUUGAGCGGCCGAUAUCAGAUUAGCGAGUUGGGGAGGUAAAGGCUCACCAAGGCGACGUCCUGAAGCGGGUCUGAGAGGAUGAUCCGCCACACUGGAACGGAGACACGGUCCAGACUCCUACGGGAGGCAGCAGUGGGGAAUUUUGGACAAUGGGGGCAACCCUGAUCCAGCCAUGCCGCGUGAGUGAAGAAGGCCUUCGGGUUGUAAAGCUCUUUCGGCCGGGAAGAAAUCGUAUGGGCUAAUACCCUGUGCGGAUGACGGUACCGGCAUAAGAAGCACCGGCUAACUACGUGCCAGCAGCCGCAGUAACAC